GGUGUGUAAAAGCUUAGGUGUCGAGGUGGCGCGUGAUCUUUUUUUGCACGUGAUCAACAGACGUAAUUAAGCGAGCCCCAGCCGUAAACGUACUCAACGGACUCAACCUACUGUGAACAGGACCUACAUACACCCCAAAGGCUCUUUUCAGAGCCAUUUUACCAAGCAUCUUUGCAUCUUUGUACAUAGUGCCGGUUUUCCUUCAGUAGUGCCAGUUUUCCUGAGAUUUUACCUCGUCCUCCACUGCCUCCAGCAAUUCCUGGUUUUAAGGGUUCCCCAAAUCUUACCCUGGAGGGCCGGAGCACUGCAGAGUUUAGCUCCAACGCUGAUCAAACACACCUGAGCAAGCUAAUCAAGGUCUUCAUGAUCACUAGAAAAUCACAGGUGGAGUUAUGGAGUAAAGAUGCAACGGAGCAGCUGAUAAGAAAACAUGCUUAAGACCAUCUUAAACGUGCACCAUCAAGAAAGGGAGGGGUACACAAUAAACAUUUUUUUUAAAUAGAUGCACUUUUAAUUUUUAAAGUAUAUAUCGUCGCUGUCCGAUGAAAACCACGCAUGUCCAUUUUGCUGAUUUUUAGAUUUUUCGACAGAUUGAAUGUCCAGGUUCAUUUCCGUAUACAGUAUGCGUCACAUACCUAAAUGGCCAAUGAAAAGUUGUGAAAUCAUGUCAUCUGAUUUUCACGUAUAUCCAUUUGGUGUCAAAGCUGUCAAUCACGCCGCAUAUCUUCCGCCUGUGAAGCAUCUCGCCGGUCUCGUAAAGUUUCAUCGAAGCUCAGGACUGGAUAUAGCGAAGAAACAUGAAAAUGACUUUCCUUCAUCGAGGUAAACGUUUCCCACGGACGCCAGACGAACAUCUAGGAGUGACUUAAUUACGGUAGGACUUUGCAAACAAAGUAUCUGUCUAGCAUUGGUGUUGUUAUUUACGCUGGGGACAUCCCACCGCUUUUUGAAGGCGUUUGGUUAAAAUGUUCUGAAAAACCAAGCGAUGCUUAAGACAGGUUUUGUGGUCUAGUGUCACGUAUGUUGCGUUGUAUGCUUAUGGUGUGUUUUCUUGUACAUAUUAGGGGUGGCACGGUUCAUGAAAAAAAUCCGAACCGUUCGGUUCGCUUGUCUCGGUUCGGAGCGCGUGUGUGUCGUACGGUUCAACGGUUCAUGGCAUGCGCAAUGUAUGUAGCCUCGUGCCCUGUAUGUGACCUCAGAUAGCGCGUUCCCCUUUCGCGAAUAGCGCGAAAGAAGAGGCGACUGGUGUGGAGAGUGAGUGCUGCCGGUCAUGUUACGUGUAGAAAUGGCAAGAGGGAGAGAAAAAGGAGUCUGCCCGCAGUUGGAGGAUGCGCCAGCGUCGUGUAAGUUUGGUGUGUGGAAACAUUUUUUUAUUUCAUGUUACCUAUGAUGACAGCGGAAAUAAAACAAUAGAUAAAACUGCAGUCUAUGGGUUGAAUGUGUUCGAACAGCCACACGCAACAGCCUUCUCUCCGACCAUUUAUCUAAUCUGAGGUAAUGAACACUGUUUUACGUCUUUUCGUAUUCAGGGCUAUUUUUAGCCUUUCGUUGAUAAAACGAAAGCGGCUGAUUUCCGCGUAGUUUCAUUUUGCUAGCGUGUGAAAGUUGCGCGAUCUUAUUUCAUAAACUGCCCCUUAAAGUAAUCAGGACAGAAAUGGUCAAAAGUGGACAAAAGAGACAGAUUUAAAUAUUACAGGUGUAAACGUUAUGUUUCUCUCUCUCGUUCACAUAUUCUCUCUGCAGUAUUUAAGCAGCCUCUCAGUGAUAAAUCUUAAAGCUACACUGAAGUUGGCAUUUGGAUAAAUGCAAGUUAUCUUUGUGUGCUAAAAAUGCACACAAAGUUCAUGUAGAUGGCAAUACACAUUCUCUUUUUUGUCAAAUAAAUGAAAAGCAUGAUGAAAUCAUCAAUGUCUUCCCUCUCGCUGUGUCAAAAUCUCGCCUGGCUUUCCUCAGGGAUGUUCCCAAUAAUGUGCUUAAAGUCAAAUUCAGUUUGAUUACAUGAUAUAACUUUUUUUAAUACUGUAUCCUAAACUAUGGAUAAUUAAUACAUUAAUAAGAUAAUACGUUUCUGGAGUGUUAAAAAAAAUAACAACAAGAACCGUACUGAACCGAGAACCGUGACCAUAGAACCGUGAUACGAACCAAACCGAGGGUUUUGUGAACCGUGCCACCCCUAGUACAUAUGUAAUGAAAUUCAUUGUAAUCAUUGACUAAAAGCGCUGCUGUUUUCUACGCUAUGGUGCUUUGGCACUGUUCGGUUAAGCUGGUGUUGCAGGGACUUACAGUUGUGUAGUCGACAUUGUUGAGGGUUUAUAGCUGAGUAUUUUCUUGUUGUUGACUAGCCUAUGCUAUGCCCAUUUUUGAUGCGCCAUUAUUCAAUAUUUUUCCCGUCCUGCAGUAAUGUUUUUAUCUGAUCUUUUGUCCCCACCACUUUUCAACACAAACUGACGCCCCUGCUGUCUAGCAUUACCAUGUCAGUGUAUUGAUUCAUUACUUCAUAGUUCGCAAGAGACAUUUAAUAAAUGUAUAAUUAAUAUUAAAUAAAGUAAGCGUAUUUAACUAAGACGUAGGCUAUUUAAUGAACUGAGCGUAUUCAUCUGUCAAUACGAAACGCGACUUGGCUAUUCUAAUUAAUGAUCGGAAGAACGCGUAUCGAUCACAGUUACUGUAAAAUAUGCACGUAUGUCCAUUUAAACUCAAUUUUGGUCAAAUGUGGAUUAUAUCAUUACACUGGCAAGAAUAUGGUUACAUGUAAAUAUGCCGCACCAAGUAUGACAACGCUACAUUCAACUGCUUUUGAUAUACAGUGCUUUUUUCACUUCCUGAAAAGUAACCGUUUUGGACAUACGUGAGUUUCAUCGGGCAGCGACGAUAUAUUGUUUAUUUAUGUUGUUUUUAAAUGUUAUAAUUGUAUUGUUUUUAUUUGUUGUAUUUAGCUUUUAUGCAUUUGUACACACACAAACACACACACACAACCACAUUUAUACAAAAUAAGUUUUGAAUAAAUACGUUUAAUGGAGUGCAAAGUGUGAGUCUUUAUUUAGCUAAAUGAUGUCUAAAAUGAGUCUGCAGUUGACGUUAUAAGACGUUGAAAAUAUGUCCACAAUGACCACAUUUCAACUAAAUUUGGACCUUAAAAAGACGUCCUAUGGACGUCAUUAUUGGACGUCCAAAAGACGUCAGAAAAAGACGUCGGAAAACCUUUCAUUCUGCACCCUGAUGGGGACGUCUUUUCAACGUCUUUAUUGGACGUCCAAAAGACGUCAGAAAAAGACGUCGGAAAACCUUUCAUUCUGCACCCUGAUGGGGACGUCUUUUCAACGUCUUUAUUGGACGUCCAAAAGACGUCAGAAAAAGACGUCGGAAAACCUUUCAUUCUGCACCCUGAUGGGGACGUCUUUUCAACGUCUUUAUUGGACGUCCAAAAGACGUCAGAAAAAGACGUCGGAAAACCUUUCAUUCUGCACCCUGAUGGGGACGUCUUUUCAACGUCCGACAAAGACGUUGAAAAGACGUCUUUUGGACAUACUUUUGCUC